AUUAUUUCUAGAGCUGAGUUUGGCAGCGGUAUUUUCGAGGUGAGUUUUAAAGGAGAGUAUACAAUCCAAUGUUAUGCCGAGGUAUUUGGGGUGGAAAUUGUGGUUAAGAGCAUCUCCAUUGAAAGUUAUGUUUAGUUGAGCGCUAGCAAGUUUAUUGUUGAGGUGGAAACAAGACGCUUCUGUUUUGCUGGUGUUAGGUUUUAAUCUCCAGGCAUGGAAGAAGUUACCUA